UACGUAGGGUGCGAGCGUUGUCCGGAAUUAUUGGGCGUAAAGAGCUCGUAGGCGGUGUGUCGCGUCGGCCGUGAAAACCUGGGGCUUAACUCUGGGCGUGCGGUCGAUACGGGCAUCACUAGAGUUCGGCAGGGGAGACUGGAAUUCCUGGUGUAGCGGUGAAAUGCGCAGAUAUCAGGAGGAACACCGGUGGCGAAGGCGGGUCUCUGGGACGGUACUGACGCUGAGACGCGAAAGCGUGGGGAGCGAACAGG
rnacentral:rRNA from 1 species